GACGAACGCUGGCGGCGCGCUUAACACAUGCAAGUCGAACGGAAAGGCCUGCUUUCCCUUGUGGAUUGCGGGUACUCGAGUGGCGAACGGGUGAGUAACACGUGCGUGAUCUGCCCCCAACUUGUGUAUAAGCCUGGGCAACUGGGUCUAAUUCCCGAUAGGUCUGCAGUGUGGUGCCUGUGGUGGAAAACGAUUUUCUAGUGGUUGGGGAUGAGCUCGCGGCCUAUCAGCUUGUUGGUGGGGUAAUGGCCUACCAAGGCUGGGACGGGUAGCCGGCCAGGGGGAGUGGGCGGGCAAAGUGGAACUGAGACACGGCGAAGAAGACAACGGGAAGAAGCAGAGGGGAAUAAUGAACAAUGGAUGGAAGCCUGAGGGAGGGACGCUGCGGGAGGGAUGACGGCCUUCGGGUUGUAGACUCCUGGCGACCGCGAGGAAGCCACCUGGUUGGAAGGGGGGUGACGGUAGUGGUAGAAGAAGCACCGGCUAACUACGUG
rnacentral:rRNA from 1 species